AACCUGGAUUCCCCUCUCGGCCCAGUUUUUCCGCCCUUAUUGCCUUCUCCCUUCAGGAAUAAUGAACUCGUCCUGGAAACGUACCAUACUUUUUAAUAUCUCUCCCUUGUCGUGUGCUGUUCCUCUUACCAGGAAACUACCCUGCCUUUCCCCCAGUUUUGGUCUGUGAACACAUUUGGGAAAUUCUCCUGAUCCUACCUCUACUCUCUUGAGAGAGAGAAACAAGGGGAAAAAAAGUUAAUUGCCUGAGGAUACACUGCUAGUGUUGCGGGACAAAUAGAGACGGGAGAGGCCAAACAGAGUUCAGGAGAACCCUUUAUUAUUAAGGUGAUCACUGGCUUAGUCGGACUAGAGUCCAGAAGGUCUGAGACCGGAACAAAGGGAUCAAUCACCUUUUAAGCAGUUUGUGGCGGAAGUUUGGUGCUACAGGAAGCCUACUUGCAGAAGCAAGAACAAAGGCAGUUAAUUAUUCUUUUACAUUUGUUACACCACAUGUCUUACAUCGUUGGGAAUACAUGCUUUUGUAGCAAUUGCUUAUCAACCUUGUGACUUCACAGCUGCGCUAGGGAGGGAAGCAAGAACUCGUGGUGCCUCGAGGAAUGUGAAACGAUGGAACACAGAUAAGCCUCUCCGUGCGUAGAGGAGAAAUAAGCGGUUAAUAUUCUCUCUUAACCCAGGCCUGCAGAGGGUGGGGGUCUAUAUUUCAUUCUACCUCUAAGGAAAAGAAUAAACUUCUUGACUAAUAUACUUAUAAAAUUCAUUAAUUCCCCCUUCACUAGUAAGUAGUAAAUACCUGACUUAGGAUUCCAACAUAGGGCUUGAAUUUUGCUGCAGGAGCUCCUUAAAGUCUCUGAAUUCCCACAACCUUUUAUUAGAUCACUUAUCCCAUUGUAUUAUAAUUAUCUGUUUAACAAUUUUUCCUCACCCCUAAAGGACCCUGAGCUUCUGGAAGGUAGGGACUGUAUCUUAAAAUCUUGGCAUUUCUGAUGUCUAGAAUAUUUCAUUUAAGAGAAGGGCUUAGUAACUGUUGUGUGGGUGGGUUGAUCAGUUGACUGUCAGGCAGGUGAACUAAUAGGCUGAAGAUAAAGUUUUUCACUGUUGGAAGUGAAAUUGGGGUUAGUCAUCCUAAUCCCCUCACUUUUAGAAAUGUGGCAACUGGGUGGGGCGCGGUGGCUCACGCCUGUAAUUCUAGCACUUUGGGAGGCCAAGGUGGGCGGAUCACCUGAAGUCAGGGAUUUGAGACCAGCCUGGCCAACAUGGUGAAACCCUGUCUCUACUAAAAAUACAAAAAUUAGCCAGGCAUGGUAGCAGGAGCCUGUAAUCCCAGCUGCUCGGGAGGCUGGGCAGGAGAAUCACUUGAACCUGGGAGGCGGAGGUUGCAGUGAGCUGAGAUCAUGCAAUUGCACUCCAGCCUGGGCGACAAGAGCAAAACUCCGCCUCAAAGAAAAAACAAAACAAGAAAUGGGGCAGCUGAGGCCUUUUGUAUACCAGGCAUUUAUCAAGUUACUCAUGUGGGCCAGUUUCUGUGAUAAAUGAUUUGCAAAUAAUACCCAACUUAAUCUGUAUUGUUAUUUUUAUUUUUACAGACGAAGAAACAGCGCAGAUUUGACCAAGAUCACACAAGUAGGAGUUGAGGAAUUGGAACCCACUAUGACUGACUCCAAAUUAAUAUAGUGUUUAUAGCCACUUACAUAAUAAUGGUAAAAGUUUUAUUUUUUUCACUAUACAAUAUGUAGUCGAUAAAUUUACUGAGGAAAUGAGACAGCACGUGACAAAUCCUUAAAGGAUACACACAUGGCAGGAAGGAUUAGAAGAGGAAACAGAAACAGGU